GCAAGUCGAGCGACCGAUUAAGAGCUUGCUCUUAUGAAGUUAGCGGCGCCACGGGUGAGUAACACGUGGGUAACCUGCCCAUAAGACUGGGAUAACUCCGGGAAACCGGGGCUAAUACCGGAUAACAUUUUGCGCCUCAUGGCGCAAAAUUGAAAGGCGGCUUCGGCUGUCACUUAUGGAUGGACCCGCGUCGCAUUAGCUAGUUGGUGAGGUAACGGCUCACCAAGGCGACGAUGCGUAGCCGACCUGAGAGGGUGAUCGGCCACACUGGGACUGAGACACGGCCCAGACUCCUACGGGAGGCAGCAGUAGGGAAUCUUCCGCAAUGGACGAAAGUCUGACGGAGCAACGCCGCGUGAGUGAUGAAGGCUUUCGGGUCGUAAAACUCUGUUGUUAGGGAAGAACAGUGCUAGUUGAAUAAGCUGGCGCCUUGACGGUACCUAACCAGAAAGCCACGGCUAACUACGUGCCAGCAGCCCCGGUAAUACGUAGGUGGCAAGCGUUAUCCGGAUUUAUUGGGCGUAAAGCCCCCGCAGGUGGUUUCUUAAUCCUGAA
rnacentral:rRNA from 1 species